rnacentral:rRNA from 1 species
UACGUAGGGGGCUAGCGUUGUCCGGAUUUAUUGGGCGUAAAGAGCGUGUAGGCGGCCAGGUAGGUCUGCUGUGAAAACUCGAGGCUCAACCUCGAGACGUCGGCGGAAACCAUUUGGCUAGAGUCCGGAAGAGGAGAGUGGAAUUCCUGGUGUAGCGGUGAAAUGCGCAGAUAUCAGGAAGAACACCAGUGGCGAAGGCGGUCAACUGGCCCGUAACUGACGCUCAGGCACGAAAGCGUGGGUAGCGAACAGG